UACGGGGGGGGCAAGCGUUGUUCGGAAUUACUGGGCGUAAAGGGCUCGUAGGCGGCCAACUAAGUCAGACGUGAAAUCCCUCGGCUUAACCGGGGAACUGCAUCUGAUACUGGAUGGCUUGAGUUCGGGAGAGGGAUGCGGAAUUCCAGGUGUAGCGGUGAAAUGCGUAGAUAUCUGGAGGAACACCGGUGGCGAAGGCGGCGUCCUGGACCGACACUGACGCUGAGGAGCGAAAGCCAGGGGAGCAAACGGG
rnacentral:rRNA from 1 species